GUGCUCGCUUCAGCGGCACAUAUGCUAAAAUAGGAAUGAUACAGAGAUUAGUAUGGCCCCUGCACAAGGAUGACACAGAAAUUCGUGAAGCGUUCCAUAUUUUU
rnacentral:snRNA from 1 species